rnacentral:rRNA from 1 species
UAGUGGCGAACGGGUGAGUAACACGUGGGCAAUCUGCCCUUCACUCUGGGACAAGCCCUGGAAACGGGGUCUAAUACCGGAUAACACCUGCCCGGGCAUCCGGGUGGGUUAAAAGCUCCGGCGGUGAAGGAUGAGCCCGCGGCCUAUCAUCUUGUUGGUGAGGUAGUGGCUCACCAAGGCGACGACGGGUAGCCGGCCUGAGAGGGCGACCGGCCACACUGGGACUGAGACACGGCCCAGACUCCUACAGGAGGCAGCAGUGGGGAAUAUUGCACAAUGGGCGAAAGCCUGAUGCAGCGACGCCGCGUGAGGGAUGACGGCCUUCGGGUUGUAAACCUCUUUCAGCAGGGAAGAAGCGAAAGUGACGGUACCUGCAGAAGAAGCGCCGGCUAACUACGUGCCAGCAGCCGCGGUAAUACGUAGGGCGCAAGCGUUGUCCGGAAUUAUUGGGCGUAAAGAGCUCGUAGGCGGCUUGUCACGUCGGGUGUGAAAGCCCGGGGCUUAACCCCGGGUCUGCAUUCGAUACGGGCUAGCUAGAGUGUGGUAGGGGAGAUCGGAAUUCCUGGUGUAGCGGUGAAAUGCGCAGAUAUCAGGAGGAACACCGGUGGCGAAGGCGGAUCUCUGGGCCAUUACUGACGCUGAGGAGCGAAAGCGUGGGGAGCGAACAGGAUUAGAUACCCUGGUAGUCCACGCCGUAAACGGUGGGAACUAGGUGUU